rnacentral:rRNA from 1 species
AGGGCACCACCAGGAGUGGAGCCUGCGGCUUAAUUUGACUCAACACGGGAAAACUCACCCGGCCCGGACACCGUAAGGAUUGACAGACUGAGAGCUCUUUCUUAAUUCGGUGGGUGGUGGUGCAUGGCCGUUCUUAGUUGGUGGAGCGAUUUGUCUGGUUAAUUCCGAUAACGAACGAGACUCUGGCCUAUUAAAUAGUCGGUAUAUCCAGAAAAGUUUACCGUACUUCUUAGAGGGACAAACGGCGUCUAGCCGCGUGAAAUAGAGCAAUAACUUGUCUGUGAUGCCCUUAGAUGUCCGGGGCUGCACGCGCGCUACACUGAAAGAAUCAGUAUGCGCUUUAGCCUAGUCCGGAAGGAUUGGGUAACCCGAGCAAAUUCUUUCGUGCUUGGGAUAGGGAAUUGCAAUUAUUUCCCUUAAACGAGGAAUUCCCAGUAAAUGCGGGUCAUAAGCUCGCGUUGAUUACGUCCCUGCCCUUUGUACACACCGCCCGUCGCUACUACCGAUUGGAUGACUUAG